CCAGUGUUCUUGCCUGGAGAAUACCAGGGACAGAGGAGCCUGGUGGGCUGCCGUCUCUGGGGUUGCACAGAGUCAGGCACGACUGAAGCGACUUAGUAGCAGCAGCAGCAGCAGCAUAGCUAAACAUAUGUCUGAUACAGCUUUGAUACCUCAUUCAUUCAUUCACUCAUUCAUUUUUUUCAUUCAAUAUUGGUUAUCAUUGAAAACGUUUAUGGUAAUGGGUUUGUGUUAAUGAAGUUAGAGAGAAUCCAACAGAGGAAGGGAAAAGACAAGAUGUCACAUGUUUCUUGUGUUUCCAGAAUUUAACUUCUAAUAGGAGGAAUAAAAUAUGAUGAUGGACAGAAAGGCAGUUUAUGAUUGGUGUGUGCCCCAUGUGCCAACAAUUGGUCCCAAGUUUUCAUCAGAUGAUCCUUCUACAAGCAUCUGGGAUUCACUGUGGUAGCUUGGGCACCACACAGACAAAUUUUUGUUCUAAGAGCACAUGUCAUUUGCUGGUAAAGUCACAUUAUGAAUAGUCACAGGACUGUUUUUAGUAUGAGAUGUCCAAUCAUGUAUUUUCUGCUACAAAACAAUCCAUAAAAAGUUUCUUUUGGAGCCCUAAGACAUUUGGUUCAAGGGACACAAGCAUUCCAAUCCACCUAUUGCCGACACUGGAUGGUCUCUGUUCUGUUGGCAUGGCUUUGGAAGAGACAAGCAUUCUGUUGCCAUUCUGGGUCACCAUCCCGUGCAGCCACAUAGGAGACCAGGCGGUGGAGAAAGCACUUUUACAACCAUGGGUCAGAGUUAGGAUGUAAACUCCUGGCAGCUUGUUGCUUUACAUCUUGGUAUUCCUCAUCAUAAAUAAUUUGUUUGUAUGUUUCAGGGGAUCAAAGCAUGUUUGCUCUUUCUGAUUGCAUGUAGUUUUAUUUUCUGGCCAUAAUUGAACUUAGAGUAUACAAAGUUAUCAUCUGACUUCUUCCAUUACUGACCAGUCGCUAGGUUUCAAUUUUGCAGUAAACACUUGAUCCAUUUUCUGGUUGCCUCACUCAGAUGAAUGAAUUCCCAGAAAGAGAGGUCAGGCCACCUGCCUUUUCACAGACUGUCCUUUGGAAACAAGAUCAAGGGCUGAAGACAUGGUAGCAGGGACACUGGCAUGGAUAAAGGCAUGAAAGAACCUCCAGGAGGAUCUUACCAUUGGGGGAGCACUUAGAAUCGUCGGUCCUCCUCAGAUUUCAUAGUGUUCUGUGAGGCUGGUAUCAAGGGUUUUGUGGUGAUCCUGAUCAUGGCCUUGAAUAUGUGGCUCGUGACUCAGGCUGCGCUAUGGUCUAUCCCUGGCACUUUAUGUCUGGCCAGGCACAGGAUAAGGCUGUAGAAGAAGCAAUUGAAAGUAUCAGGGUGCAGGGCUGAGGUUAGGGGAGGUUGGCCGACUCAUUUCUAUGGCAAUGAAAUGUCUUCUCUUGGAAAAUCCUGCAACUAAGAUUUCCAUGCCAUACUCUGCUAGGCUUCUCAGACCAAAAUGAUUUAAAUGCGGGGAUAGGAUGCUAUGAGGCUUGAGGCUUUGAUCUCUAGCUUGUGGAAACACAUUUUGGGAUGAUGUGGUUUUAGCUUAUUCUGCUUUUCCACCUUUUUUAAAGAAAAAAAAUGUCGUGUUUGUAAGAUUGAAAGAUGGUGAUAAAGAUUGUUAGUCCAUAUAAAGUCAUUUAAACUGUUUUUGUAUUUUUCAGAGAUGGCUGAGUCCAUCUGUGAGUGCCUCAGUGCAGCUUUCCUUGAUAUAAACAGAGAGUCUUUAAAAUACUGUGUGAAUGCCAGCGUUGCUUAGCAUUAGCAUUGGCUCAUGUUGAAGUUCACGCUGACCUCAAAGUGAAAGUUUAUCUUUUGAGGUCACUUUGACCUUGGGGAGGUUAGCUAUUGUAAAUUUCUAUGGAGAAUACUGCUUGGUUGACUGGCUUUUCUUCUCCAUGAUGUUCGAAAGAAAAUCCCCACAACCAGAAGGCUUACUUCCUCAGCCAAAGUGGUGGUCCAUCUGCAGAAUUGCUGGCUCUAUGAUCGCAAGAUCAACCCAUGUAGCACCCAGUCCCAGACUGGGGAUUUAUUGUGUUAGCUGUUUUACAGGUGUUGUUCCUGAGGUGCCAAGAGGACCACGCAGCUGAACUAAAUCAAUAGAAAUGAGGUUGAUGGUGGUGUGGAGAUGCAAUGGAUGUGAGAUAGGGCAGGUCCUAGAAUUCCUGAUUCUUGAUUCGAAUCCACAAAUCCAUGGACAGCUGGCCACGUCAGCUUGUCCAGUGCUCCUGGUGCUGGUCUAUGAGAAUCUGAGACUGAGGACCAGUCAGGAUAGUGAGGGAGACAAAGCUGGUCCUGUUCUCAAGCCUUGUCUUUCAAAAUCUUAUUAAAAUAUGAAAAAAUAAGUCCCUGUAUUUUUGUAUUGCUCUUCAUCCUGUUUGUGAUGCCAGUUGUCUCGCUGUUCACACUGUGCGCACUGUUCGCUGAACCCAGGGUCGGCAAGGCCCAAGCUAAGGGGUUGGAAGGAGACUCGAGGAGGCUCAGGAACUGCAGACACGUGUUCUCUCCUGGCGGACACGGCAGCCGUAGCAGCAGCCGCAACGUCACCAUAAUAUAGUAAUAACAUGGCCACGAUGCCACUCCAGUGUAGCCCCUACGCCACAGCAGCCAGGGCCUUGUGGUGGAGCUCUUACAGACGUGUGGAGCAAAGCGCCUCAGGACCAAGCGAGGACCUCGUGACUCCUAUGCGCAGUGCGAUAAGUGCGCUCAGCUGCUGCUGCUGCUGCUAAAUCGCUUCAGUUGUGUCCGACUUUGUGUGACCCAAUAGACGGCAGCCCACCAGGCUCUCCUGUCCCUGGGAUUCUCCAGGCAAGAACGCUGGAGUGGGUUGCCAUUUCCUUCUCCAGUGCAUGAAAGUGAAAAGUAAAAGUGAAGUCGCUCAUAGCGACCCCAUGGACUGCAGCCUACCAACUACAGAGGCAUUCACAAAACAUGGGGCCAUUUGCUGGGGUGUGCAGGAGGUUGUCUUGCCGAUACGAACGCAUCACCUAUACUGCAUCGUUUUACAUGCGACAGAAGAAGAAUGAUAUCAGGGGGCACGUGAGAAGACGUGGGAUUCCAGUGGAACUUCCUUGACAUUUGACCCACCUUUGAGACAAAUGGAAAGACUGAAGGUAAAUGAGAGUGAAGGGAGGUGAUUCUAAUGAUAACAAUCUGGAAACAGGAGGUAUUGAUUGUUGGGGUACUGAUCACUGAUUUGAGUUUUUGGUGAAAUCUUUAUUAAGAAAUGACCUUGCAGCUGAAAGCUAUAAUAUUGGGAAAAUAUACAACCACUGAUAAGAGCAUGUGAGAUUUGCUUUAUGUGAAAGCAUGUGCCUGUUAGGUGGAGAUACUGUCACUCCAGCAAGGCAACCAUUUAUUGUUCUAGAGUCAAGAAUAUAGUGGAAACCCGAGGGAAUCUCUCCUUAGCCAGAAGAGACUUUUAUGUUGUCUGUUGUGAACUUGUUUUCACACUUUUGACCACCCACAGGCGAAUCCAAGACAACCAGAGAUAAGUUUCACAGACUGGAAAACCAGAAUGAGUGUGUGUAUGUUUCAAUUUAAAAGAUCCUUUUUAAGGGAAUUAACAUUAUGAUGUUGGAAAGUGUUAUUUAAAUCACAGAACAUUUGUAAGAUCUAUUAUGUGUGAGAUAAUCACAUGUAAAUAUUUGGUAGAAGUAAAGCAAAAUGGAUGCAGUGGUGGGAAUGAACCCAAUGAGGAGAAGCCAUGCUUCACUUUUCUAAGCAUCAUCAACAGAGCUGCUUAUUCUCUGAGUUUGGAAGAGAUCCAGUGGGAUUUAGUUUUAUGAGGUUUAAUGUAAAGGUGUUGUAUUUCAUGAGAUGAAAUCAUAACACAGUGUGGUUGCAAGAAUUUUGAAAGAUUAUUUUUUCAGAGUGUUGGCAAGCACCAUCCUCUAGAGAAUUUUGUGUCUAAAAGAGAAAUGCAGAUCUUCUUUCACAGGAUUGAAAUGAUAACUAAUCUUUAAUCCUUUUUGGAUGGCCAGGGUUCGACUGGUUAGGCUGAUUUAGAAUGUAUGUAGUAGGUCUGACCUCUCCAAUCAACCUUUUUGAAUCUGUGACUUUCAAUGCAUCCUAAAAUUUCAGGGUACAUGGACAAUGAAUUUUGGGGGCCCCACUUCUAACUCAUGAUUAAGGAUUUUUGUAUUAUUUAUAGUGCAUUCUUUACCUUUAGGCUUUGCACACAAUUUGAGUCUCUAUGACUUUUGACAAUCCAAAUGAACAUUUGGCCAACUAAAAAGAAUAUGCUAUUAAGCUCCCUCUCAGGUUUCUUUCCUCUCCUGCAAUUAUUAUGUUUUUCAGCUGAGAAAAGUUCUCUGUCUCCAUUUUAGAGAGAAAGCUGAGCCAUUCCCCUGACUUAGGUUUGACCUUUUUUUUUACUUUGUUCUGGAACACAUAUAACUGUCCUUAGGCUAAACAUCUCUCUUCUUUUGUGACCAUUUCAUCUUCAAUUUCCUUACAAGGCAACAUCUUGGACCAGGUUUUUCAUGAAUGGCAAGAGAGAAAUAAGACACUGGUGGGGGGCAAUCUGGUGCCUCUUCUGAUUUCCUGAUUUUGGUGUGUAUGGAGGGAGUUUUUGUUCUCCGUAGCUGAGAGACUUCUUGAAAUGUGCUUGGUUUCGGCAAGAGUGUUUUGGAAAUGCAAUUAAUUCAGCAUGGGCGUCUAGCAAAAGUCACAUAUGCCCCAUUCUGUGCAGCUCCUUUCCAAGGGAGAUUUCUUCCUCCCUUGUUUCAGAAAUAAUAGAUGCAAUCUUAAGACUUUUAAAAUGUUCUGCAGCGGCCCGCAUAUCAUCUGUAAUGAUACAAAGCUGUGUGCAUCAGCACAGAUGUGUUUGUAUCAAAUCGUGUGGGUGAUGAACCUCACGUGAGCCUCCAGUGACUUAUCACAGCCCCAUGGAUGGAAUUAGUGUUAUGAAGGAAAGGAGGGGAGCAUUUUGAGUUAUUACCAUCAAGGAACAAAUGUUACAUUCCUUAUCUUUCUCAAACGCUUUCCUGCAAACGCACGACUGCUUGGGCUGUCAUGUCAUCCAGAGACAGGCCAGCUGAGGGAGGUUACCAGGGGCCGUAAUCAACCCAAGGGGUAGGCUCAUCUGCAGCUGGGGGCUAUCCCCCGUCACCUGUUUCCCAGGCUUGUCCGCUUACCUGGGGAGUGUGUUCACUGGCGAUUCCUGCAGACUCAUCAAAUCAGAGUCUGCAGCCCAGGGGCCUGGGAAACGGACAGCUGAUGGCUCUCAUCAGGCAAGUCUGGGAAUUACUCACCCUGCAUAAUUAGGACAGGCAUUGUUAAAGGGGUGGGUUUUGUGGCUGGAUGUGUGUGGAUUUGGGGGAGUGGGAUGGUAAACAGCAUCGGAGGGACCAUCCUGCCUCUGUUGAAAAGAUGCUGGAGGAACUUGUCUUCCUGUUUCUUGAAGCUCUCUGUCAUGCCCCACUCUGUGUAUUUCUCUCACAGUUGGUCGAAGAAAAACCUUUGUCUUUCCUAAGGAACUUUUUUUUUCCUAUGAGAAUUUUCCUACUGACUUCUCUGUUUUCCUCCCUUCCCAAGUCUCA